rnacentral:rRNA from 1 species
AUGAUUGAUGAUGGAGACUCUACUCCCUCUCCCUCCAGGCUCCACCACACCACACCACAGCAGGCGAGAGAGAGAGAGAGUAUUAUUAUUAAGGCCAUAGGUAGUAGCAGGAACAGAGAUCAUCAAUCACAACGGAGCCGCCACCACCACCACCGCAGCCUCCACUCUCCACCGCAUCCGGCAGCGGCGCGCGGCGGAGAAGCCGGUCCGGGGAAGCAGGCGAGCGACAGGAAGCAGCAGCACCGGCAGCAAGAAGAAGAAGGAGAAGAAGAAUCGGACGCCAUAAUGCAGCAGCAUCAAGGGGUUCCUAAAUUUGGGAACUGGGAGGACGAGGGCCAAGGCUACACGCAGUACUUCGAAAACGCCCGCAAAUCUCCAGGAAGGCCCGUCAACCAGAACGAUCGCAACCAAGGCGCUGCACAGGCACCCCCGAACGACCCGCCGUCGGUCAAGGCCUCCCCCUUGAGGCCGGGGUCCGAGCCGGGGCUGCGCAAGAACAGGGACGAAAGGCGUGCCACCCGAGAAGACGACCUCCGUCGGCACGAGCCCGCUGCCCGGAAAACACAUGCCGAGUCGCCCAACCAUAGAUAUGGUGACCAGAGCAACUACGAAGGCGCUGCGAGGAAAGCGAGCAAUGAGAGGUCACCCAUCCAUCCUCGGCAGCAGGCAAGGCUUGCAAACAAAGGUGGGGUUUCAUCUCCUGUUGCGGAUCGCAGGGGUUCUGCUCCCACCACGCCUGGAAGGUCCAAGAUGAGGCCAACCGGCCGCGGCGAUGAAACGCCCGAGAGAGGAUCAGCUGUGCCGAAGUUUGGAGACUGGGAUGAGAAAGACCCUUCGACUGGUGAAGGUUUCACUGACAUAUUUGAGAAGGUGAGGGAGGAGAAGCAGUCCGGCGCGGAUACUGUCGGCACCAGCCAUGCAUAUAAGGACCGCUACAACCAAGGGGACAGAUAUGAAUCUUCGGGCUGCUCAUGCUUCAGCUGGUUCAAGAAGUGA